UUCGGCUUAUUACCAUUUUUACCCAAAUUUUGACCCGUUCAUGAAUUCAUCUAACAAACUUGAUUGUGGCCCUUGUUUCUUUCGUAAACAUAAUAUUAUGAUUAUUUCCUAUUGUACAAGGUUCAAAUCACGGGUUAUUACACAUUCUUAACUCGUUUCGCUAAUACUUCUAUAUCGACCCGUUAAGGGUAUUUACGCAUUUUGGUCUAGAACUUGUGCUUUUCUUUUGAUACUACAAUAUUUUCCAUGUCUAAUUAACUAGAAAUAUUCCACCACAACUAUUUUGUGGUGGAUUUAACAUAUGAACCCCUUUUUUCCAAUUUUACCUAUCGGUUGGUCAUUUUUCCGCAAUUAACUAUUUCUAGGCGUUCGACCCACAAUUGUUUUUGCCUAGAACUUUUAUACACAUCUAAGGGUUUCAAACUCAUAAUAUAAGUUUCUAGGCAACCUCUAAGAGUCGUUUACAUUGUUUACCUAUUAAGGGCUCUUUGGUCACAUUUAGUCCUUCAUUUUGAAAUGAAGGAUUUCGGCUAGAUGUUAGACCUUCUUGCACUUUUAACUAUAAAUUCACGUAUGCGUACCUGGCUCGGAUCAUAGUAUUGACCCGUUUACAUACUUCUUGCUUUAAAUUUUCUAAUUAAAGCAACGCAACACAUGUUAUUUCCUGAAAUCACAAAACUCAACAAGCGAUUUCUAAUUGACCAUUUGUCCGUGUUGAGAUGGUAUUUAAUUACCAUUUCAACCCUUUUACCUAUCCCGGUUUUCUUUGAACUUGUUUUACUUAAAACCGUUUUUUAAUUAUUCGUCAUUACAUGACUAAUUUACCAUUUUCCCCUCAUUCCAACUCUCAUUGAAUCGCGUCGGAAUAUCAUAUACCAACCACUUAGUAGCAUCCAUAUCAUUACUUGAAAUUAAGUAACUUUGCAAAUAAUGUAAAGGGGCGUAAGCUCUACUUACCUCGCAUCCGAAUACGUUUUCUUCUCGUGCUUGAUUCGU
rnacentral:lncRNA from 1 species